CACUUCUAAGGAAGGCAGCAGGCGCGCAAAUUACCCAAUCCUGACUCAGGGAGGUAGUGACAAGAAAUAACAAUAAACCGGCUUAUGCCGGUUUAAUUGGAAUGAGUACAAUUUAAACAUCUUAACGAGGAACAAUUGGAGGGCAAGUCUGGUGCCAGCAGCCGCGGUAAUUCCAGCUCCAAUAGCGUAUACUAAAGUUGUUGCAGUUAAAAAGCUCGUAGUUGGAUUUCUGUGGGGACGGAGCGGCCGGCCGCAACUCGCGGUUCGAGCUAGCGCUUUCCCUACAUCCUGCCGCGAACCGUGCUACCAUUAGUUUGGUGGCGCCGGGGAUCGGCUCGAUUACUUUGAGAAAAAUAGAGUGUUCAAAGCAGGCCACACGCCUUGAAUAAGUUAGCAUGGAAUAAUAACUAAGGACUUCGGUUCUAUUUUGUUGGUGUUCGGGACUGAAGUAAUGAUUGAUAGGGACAGUUGGGGCGGUCUGUAUUCCAAAGCGAGAGGUGAAAUUCUUAGACCUUCGGAAGACAAACAGCUGCGAAAGCGUUCCGCAAGGAUGUUCCCUUUGAUCAAGAACGAAAGUUGGGGGAUCGAAGACGAUCAGAUACCGUCGUAGUCUCAACUAUAAACUAUACCAGCUAGGGAUCGGCCAACGUUAUUUAAACCGACUUGGUCGGCACCUUAUGAGAAAUCAAAGCAUCUGGGUUCCGGGGGGAGUAUGGUCGCAAGGCUGAAACUUAAAGGAAUUGACGGAAGGGCACCACCAGCCGUGGAGCCUGUGGCUUAAUUUGACUCAACACGGGAAAACUUACCAGGUCCAGACAUAGUAAGGAUUGACAGAUUGAUAGCUCUUUCUUGAUUCUGUGGGUGGUGGUGCAUGGCCGUUCUUAGUUGGUGGAGUGAUUUGUCUGGUUAAUUCCGUUAACGAACGAGACCCCAGCCUGCUAAAUAGCGCGUGUGAGCUUUGCUCGCAGCGAGCUUCUUAGAGGGACUAUGAUGCGCGAUAGCACAUGGAAGUUUGGGGCAAUAACAGGUCUGUGAUGCCCUUAGAUGUUCUGGGCCGCACACGGGCUACACUGGCGCCUGCAACGAGCAUAUCAGCUGGCCCGAGAGGGUCUUGGCUAAUCUUUUGAACCGGCGCCGUGCUUGGGAUUGACCUUUGCAAUUGUUGGUCAUGCAACGAGGAAUGCCUUGUAAACGCGAGUCAUCAGCUCGCAUUGAAUACGUCCCUGCCCUUUGUACACACCGCCCGUCGCUCCUACCGAUGAAUGUUCCGAUGAAAUUUUCGGAGAGUGCCUGUGAACUUGGCUCUGCCUUGCGAACGGGAAGCUCAAAGUCACUUAAAUCUGAACAUUUCGAGG
rnacentral:rRNA from 1 species